GGUGAUUAGGGUCAUUGUUGUUCCUUCCAUAUAUAAAGCAAGACGUCUUCUCUCAUACUCUUUGUCGAUUAGGUUUUUUUUUUUGUUUACAUUGUUCCUCUUCAUCAGAUAAUCCCUCAUGCGCAUUCUCUUUGGAGAAAACCUAGCCACCUCCUUCAGCUAGACCAUGGAUUCUCAUCUUCAUCUUCAAGGUAUUCGAUUUAGGGUUCCGAUUGGGAUUAUGACGGUGACUCGGUUUAUACUUUAUAUUAUGACGGUGAUCUCUCGAUCUAAAUCGACUGAUAUGACGAACUAUGGUUUCUCUUCAUCUCUCGGCUCUACUUCUUCACUCAUUCAAUCCAACCUUCUUCAUCAAAAAGAAGCUUUAAUAAAUUGGUCUGAGCAAAGAGCACGUGAGGAAAGUGAAAGAUUGAAGCGGGUAGUCGGUUGCGGCUUAGAAUUAAAUUGAUGCGUAGCAACUUGGUGGGUCGAUGCGGAUUGGUUUGAAAUGGACCUGGCUUGGUUGACCCACAACCAUGAAUCAACUGUGUAUUCCUAUAGAUGCUUUGUGUUGCUGCUAAGCCAGAGGAGAAGAAACUUCAACUCAUGUUUCUUCGUUGGAGCGAGCAUCACAAAAAACUUUGCAGUUUUUUAAGGUUUACUUUCUAUAUACAAUGGCAUUGGUGCUUUUUUAUCUCACUACUUACAACUGUAUUUUUAGUUUGGUACACGUGCAAGAGUGCUUCAAUCAUAUCCACCACCUAAAGCUUUAAAAGUUACCCUAUCCAAAAAGUUCCAUUGGUUUGGGAUGGUUGGGGAGUAGUUAGCUGCAUACGAAGAAAAGCGAGAAAAGAUUAACAAAACAAGGCUUUAAAAGCCACUCUUGUGAAAUAAGAAGAGUCGAAAGCUGUGGAUGAUGCUGAUGUUAGCAAAAGUGACCCAAUGCUCAUUGAUGGCUAUACAAAAGUGGAUGAUAAUUCUAUGUUGUUUUUUUUAUUAUGCUGAUGAGUUUAAGUUACCAUUCCAUGGUUCAAGUUUAAAGUUAUAGAAAAUUAUUAUAUGCGUGGGUUGAAAGAAUGGGUAAGGAAUGCCGAAAUUUCUUAGUGUCAUCCGCUGUGACCGUGCUUCGGUAGUUGAGCGACGGUGGUGGCUGCUGUCAUAUAAUUGAAACAACAUCAAAUCAAGUUGCGUCGGUAGAAGAAGAAUGACUACGCAGGUUUAGCAACAAAACCUGUGAUUAUAACAUCUUAAGCAUAUGAUAAAGAAGAUAUGAGUUGAGAAAUUAUGGCUAUGGCACACUUUCUCUACAGCUAUUUUCUACGACUUUGAGAAAUCUAAGCAAAUAUUCUCUUAAUCUCCCCUAAAUUCAUGCACACAAUUUCCACACACAUAUAUUAUGCAUUCUGUGGCCAGGAUCUCCACGAAGAUUUUCCGCAGUUUCUUCGUCCCCUUUUCAAACAUGUCUUUUGUACACUCACUUGAUCAAUUUAUUCUUUCUCACACACAUUUAUAGUGUUAAAUAAUGGUUCAUACACAAUUUGUUUGACCUCACUGUGGCAAUAAGUUGUUCCGGUGUAGUGAUUUCAUCAAGUAUGUUGUUGAUUUGUGUUUUUUUGUUCAAAUUUAAUUAGAUUUUGUAACGGAUUGGUUGUCUGUGUAGGUGGAUUAAGUUUCAACAAAGGACCAGUUAUGACUUUUACGACGAUUUGUGAUCUUUCGAUUAGUUUGCAUAAGGCAUAGUUAGGUUCAGUUUUGUUCGGUUACAGUUUGGUUUGGUUUGUUUUGCCUUAGUUUUUUUAAGGUUUUUAGUUGAUUGUGGUUUUUUAGUUUAGUUUUGAAGUUUUAGGUAUGGAUUUAAUUUUAAUUGGGGCAGUUAGUGUAAUAAUGAGGCCGUGGCCUUUACACCAUUUUGCCACCUCUAAUCUCUACAUGUUGUUUCUAACCCUUUUUACAUUUUUUAAUAUUUAGAUAAGCAAGAACAAAUGGCACCUAGACAAAGUAGUUGCACUUGAUGUUUGGGAUAGUAUCGAAGAAUUCACACGUUCACGGUCACGUUCUUAAGGUGUGUAGAAGUGAUUCUUUUCAUUUACGAUGAAACGUAUAUGCGGUAUAAGUCAUUGGAUUCGGCUGCGAUGGCAUACAAUUCUAUACAUGGUUGUAAUUUUGUUAGCAAACUGCAGGUUGAAUGCCCGUAUAAUUGAGACUUCGAAAACUAAAUGGGAAUAUCAACUUUUUUGAAGAAAUGGUCACUUUAGAAAUCAAUAUCUUUACUUCGAAUUUGAGAUUCAAGUAAAAGAUACAAAUAUGUUCAUUGUCUAAAAUUUGCUGGUGCUUUAAGUAUAAAUAUAUAUUUUUUUAUAUUCUUGCAUCACGAACAAGUUAUUUCAAAGUCGGUUAUGUGGGGAAAAUGCUCAAAAUU